UACGUAGGGGGCAAGCGUUAUCCGGAUUUAUUGGGUUUAAAGGGAGCGUAGGCCGGCUUUUAAGUCAGCUGUGAAAGUCCGCGGCUCAACCGUGGAAUUGCAGUUGAAACUGGAGGCCUUGAGUGCACACAGGGAUGCCGGAAUUCAUGGUGUAGCGGUGAAAUGCUUAGAUAUCACGCAGAACUCCGAUUGCGAAGGCAGCAUACCGGCGCCCAACUGACGCUGAAGCACGAAAGCGUGGGUAUCGAACAGG
rnacentral:rRNA from 1 species